rnacentral:rRNA from 1 species
GGGGUACUCGAGUGGCGAACGGGUGAGUAACACGUGGGUGAUCUGCCCUGCACUUUGGGAUAAGCCUGGGAAACUGGGUCUAAUACCGAAUACACCCUGCUGGUCGCAUGGCCUGGUGGGGGAAAGCUUUUGCGGUGUGGGAUGGGCCCGCGGCCUAUCAGCUUGUUGGUGGGGUGAUGGCCUACCAAGGCGACGACGGGUAGCCGGCCUGAGAGGGUGUCCGGCCACACUGGGACUGAGAUACGGCCCAGACUCCUACGGGAGGCAGCAGUGGGGAAUAUUGCACAAUGGGCGCAAGCCUGAUGCAGCGACGCCGCGUGAGGGAUGACGGCCUUCGGGUUGUAAACCUCUUUCAGCAGGGACGAAGCGCAAGUGACGGUACCUGCAGAAGAAGCACCGGCCAACUACGUGCCAGCAGCCGCGGUAAUACGUAGGGUGCGAGCGUUGUCCGGAAUUACUGGGCGUAAAGAGCUCGUAGGUGGUUUGUCGCGUUGUUCGUGAAAACUCACAGCUCAACUGUGGGCGUGCGGGCGAUACGGGCAGACUGGAGUACUGCAGGGGAGACUGGAAUUCCUGGUGUAGCGGUGGAAUGCGCAGAUAUCAGGAGGAACACCGGUGGCGAAGGCGGGUCUCUGGGCAGUAACUGACGCUGAGGAGCGAAAGCGUGGGGAGCGAACAGGAUUAGAUACCCUGGUAGUCCACGCCGUAAACGGUGGGUACUAGAUGUGGGUUUCCUUCCUUGGGAUCCGUGCCGUAGCUAACGCAUUAAGUACCCCGCCUGGGGAGUACGGCCGCAAGGCUAAAACUCAAAGAAAUUGACGGGGGCCCGCACAAGCGGCGGAGCAUGUGGAUUAAUUCGAUGCAACGCGAAGAACCUUACCUGGGUUUGACAUGCACAGGACGCUGGUAGAGAUAUCAGUUCCCUUGUGGUCUGUGUGCAGGUGGUGCAUGGCUGUCGUCAGCUCGUGUCGUGAGAUGUUGGGUUAAGUCCCGCAACGAGCGCAACCCCUAUCUUAUGUUGCCAGCGCGUUAUGGCGGGGACUCGUAAGAGACUGCCGGGGUCAACUCGGAGGAAGGUGGGGAUGACGUCAAGUCAUCAUGCCCCUUAUGUCCAGGGCUUCACACAUGCUACAAUGGCCGGUACAAAGGGCUGCGAAUCCGUGAGGUGGAGCGAAUCCCUUGAAAGCCGGUCUCAGUUCGGAUCGGGGUCUGCAACUCGACCCCGUGAAGUCGGAGUCGCUAGUAAUCGCAGAUCAGCAACGCUGCGGUGAAUACGUUCCCGGGCCUUGUACACACCGCCCGUCACGUCAUGAAAGUCGGUAACACCCGAAGCCAG